rnacentral:lncRNA from 1 species
GCUUUUUAUCUUUUUAGGAACAUAAUAUUUUCUCAAGUAAACUUGAAUGUUGCUGCAGGUGUCGCAGUUAUCUGAGGUCUUUGAGAUUUGCAGGGUCCUUCACUAUGGGCAAGGGCAAAAGUACCUUAAGAUUAAACCAGUAUUGGACCUUAAAAAUUACUUUAUGAGUUUCUUGUUUCUUUGAAUUUCCAACGAUUUUGUUUAACUUCCUUGACAUGUACAUUCCAG